rnacentral:rRNA from 1 species
AGGAUAAACGCUGGCGGCGUGCCUAACACAUGCAAGUCGAACGCCCUUGAGCAAUCAAGGGAGUGGCGGACGGGUGAGUAACACGUGGGUACCUACCCCAAGGUGAGGAAUACCGGCGAGAAAUCGCCGACAAUACCGCAUACGUUUCGCAAGAAACAAAGCUCGCAAGGGCGCCAUGGGAAGGGCCUGCGGCCGAUUAGCUGGUUGGUGAGGUAAGAGCUUACCAAGGCGACGAUCGGUAGCUGGUCUGAGAGGAUGAUCAGCCACACUGGGAUUGAGAACGGCCCAGACUCCUACGGGGGGCAGCAGUGAGGAAUUUUCGUCAAUGGGGGGCAACCCUGAACGAGCAACGCCGCGUGCAGGAAGAAGGUUUUCGGAUCGUAAACUGCUUUUCUCUGGGACGAGAACGGACGGUACCAGAGGAAUCAGCCCCGGCUAACUACGCGCCAGCAGCCGC